UGAGCUAUGUGUACUUCUUGGUUGAUGG
rnacentral:piRNA from 1 species